UAAUUGUUCCUGUGUAAGUCGCUCUGGAUAAGAGCGUCUGCUAAAUGACUAAAA
rfam:Salmo salar isolate Sally breed double haploid chromosome ssa20, whole genome shotgun sequence.